AAGUCGUAACAAGGUUUCCGUAGGUGAACCUGCGGAAGGAUCAUUAUCGAAUUUUGAUUUCGAGGAGAAAGGGCAUCGAUUGUCGCUGGCUGGCUUUUCAGCAUGUGCACAUCUAUGCUUUCUCACCUCGUCUCAUAUCCCACACACCUGUGCACCUAUUGUAGGUCCUCGAAAGAGGAUCUAUGUUUUUUCUACAUCACACACGUCGUAUGUCUAGAAUGUAUUUGAUAACUUGUCGAUCAGGCUUGAUUGUCCUGGUCCCCAAGGUUCAAUAAAACCACUAUACAACUUUCAGCAAUGGAUCUCUUGGCUCUC
rnacentral:misc_RNA from 1 species